rnacentral:rRNA from 1 species
CGGCAGUGGCGGGUGCUAUACAUGCAGUCGAGCGAAUCUGAUGGGAGCUUGCUCCCUGAUGAUUAGCGGCGGACGGGUGAGUAACACGUGGGUAACCUGCCUGUAAGACUGGGAUAACUCCGGGAAACCGGGGCUAAUACCGGAUAACUUUUUUCUUCGCAUGAGGGAGAAUUGAAAGAUGGCUUCGGCUAUCACUUACAGAUGGACCCGCGGCGCAUUAGCUAGUUGGUGAGGUAACGGCUCACCAAGGCGACGAUGCGUAGCCGACUUGAGAGGGUGAUCGGCCACACUGGGACUGAGACACGGCCCAGACUCCUACGGGAGGCAGCAGUAGGGAAUCUUCCGCAAUGGACGAAAGUCUGACGGAGCAACGCCGCGUGAGUGAUGAAGGUUUUCGGAUCGUAAAACUCUGUUGUUAGGGAAGAACAAGUAUCGUUCGAAUAGGGCGGUACCUUGACGGUACCUAACCAGAAAGCCACGGCUAACUACGUGCCAGCAGCCGCGGUAAUACGUAGGUGGCAAGCGUUGUCCGGAAUUAUUGGGCGUAAAGCGCGCGCAGGCGGUUUCUUAAGUCUGAUGUGAAAUCUUGCGGCUCAACCGCAAGCGGCCAUUGGAAACUGGGAGACUUGAGUGCAGAAGAGGAGAGUGGAAUUCCACGUGUAGCGGUGAAAUGCGUAGAGAUGUGGAGGAACACCAGUGGCGAAGGCGACUCUCUGGUCUGUAACUGACGCUGAGGCGCGAAAGCGUGGGGAGCGAACAGGAUUAGAUACCCUGGUAGUCCACGCCGUAAACGAUGAGUGCUAAGUGUUAGAGGGUUUCCGCCCUUUAGUGCUGCAGCUAACGCAUUAAG